rnacentral:rRNA from 1 species
GAGGAAUAUUGGUCAAUGGACGUAAGUCUGAACCAGCCAAGUAGCGUGCAGGAUGACGGCCCUAUGGGUUGUAAACUGCUUUUGUAUGGGGAUAAAGUCAAUCACGUGUGAUUGUUUGCAGGUACCAUACGAAUAAGGACCGGCUAAUUCCGUGCCAGCAGCCGCGGUAAUACGGAAGGUUCGGGCGUUAUCCGGAUUUAUUGGGUUUAAAGGGAGCGUAGGCCGGAGAUUAAGUGUGUUGUGAAAUGUAGACGCUCAACGUCUGACUUGCAGCGCAUACUGGUUUUCUUGAGUACGCACAACGUUGGCGGAAUUCGUCGUGUAGCGGUGAAAUGCUUAGAUAUGACGAAGAACUCCGAUUGCGAAGGCAGCUGACGGGGGCGCAACUGACGCUGAAGCUCGAAGGUGCGGGUAUCGAACAGGAUUAGAUACCCUGGUAGUCCGCACAGUAAACGAUGGAUGCCCGCUGUUGGUACUUGGUAUCAGCGGCUAAGCGAAAGCAUUAAGCAUCCCACCUGGGGAGUACGCCGGCAACGGUG